rnacentral:rRNA from 1 species
GGUAUUUUGACUAUACGAAGGUAUUGAAAUAAGAUUUUAAAUGAGUGCUAAGAGAAUGAUUAAACAAUUAAAAGCUUUCUUUAAUUGAAUAAUUGAAUUUAAUUUUUUAGUGCAAAAGCAAAAAUAAAAAUUAGGGACAAGAAGACCCUAUGAAUUUUUUAUUAAAUUUUAUAAAACUUUAUAUAAAAUUUAAUUUAAUUGGGGUGAUGGAAAAAGAAUAAAUAUCUUUUUUUUUAAAAAAAAUUGGUUCCGUUUUUAGCGAUUAAAUGAAAAAAAUACUCUAGGGAUAACAGCGUAAUAAUUUUGGAUAGUUCAUAUAGAUAAAAUAGUUUGCGACCUCGAUGUUGGAUUAGGAUUCUUUUUUGGUGAAGAAGU